rnacentral:rRNA from 1 species
AGCCAUGCGAGUCGAACGUUCCCCUNUUGCGGGGAGCGUGGCGUACGGCUCAGUAACACGUAGUCAACCUGCCCUAGAGACAUGGACAACCCCGGGAAACUGGGAUUAAUCCGUGAUAGGUCAUCUCAUCUGGAGGGAGAGAUGGCUUAAAGGGGUGCGAGAGCUUCUUUCUUGUACUCGCUCUAGGAUGGGACUGCGGCCGAUCAGGCUGUUGGUGGGGUAAUGGCCCACCAAACCUGUAACCGGUACGGGCCUUGAGAGAGGGGGCCCGGAGAUGGACACUGAGAGAAGGGUCCAGGUCCUACGGGGCGCAGCAGGCGCGAAACCUUCACAAUGCGCGAAAGCGUGAUGAGGUNUAUCCGAGUGGUCCCCGCUGAGGGGAUCUUUUGUUGGCUCUAAAACGGCCAGUGAAUAAGGGGAGGGGCAGUCUGGUGUUCAGCCGCCGCGGUAA